AGAGUGUCUCCCGAAAGAUUAGCAUUUGAAUUGGUGAGCUGGGUAAAGUAGAUUGCCCUCCUCGAAGUGACUUGCAUCACCCAACCCAUUGGGGGCCCAAACAGAACAGAAAGGUGGAAGAAGGUGGAAUUCUCUCUCUGACUGUCUGCUUGAGCUGUGACAUCAGUCUUCUCUUGCUCUUAGACUUGGACUUAUACCAUCCACACUCCUGGUUCUCAGGCCUUCAGUCUCAGACUGGAACUCACACCACCAGCUUUCCUGGGUCUCCAGUUUGCAGACAGCAGAGCAGUAGAUCAUGGGACUUCUCAGCCUCCAUAACUGUGAAAAGAGAGAGAAAGUUAUCACCCAAACUGGAUCACGGAGACAUACAUGUGAAAAGGUGCUUCAAGCAGAGGAUUUGCGUAUGGUCCUAAUCCCCCACUGCGUGUACGUGAAGCUAUCUGCCAGGUGAAAGCACAUGGAGGAUGGAGGAAUACAGUGAAAAGGAAAUGAGAACACAGUAGCCCCCUGUUGGAAACCCAGCUGUAAUUUCUAGCAUUCAGAUACAUCAUGGGGCACAUCACGACCUUGAACCAUAAACAUAUAUGCAGUAAAAGCC
rnacentral:lncRNA from 1 species